rnacentral:lncRNA from 1 species
AAGAAUUGAAGAAGAAAAGUUUAGGGUUCCAUAUGCACCAAGCUUGAAAAUCAAAGGUGAGCUUAGAAAUGAGUAGGAAAUAGCAUCAUCUCAUUUCUUCAUGCAUGAAUUUGAAUUAUAAAGCUUUAAUUUACAAUUUAUUCAAUCCUUCCCUAAGAUAUAAAUUGGCAUAGGUGAAGGAACAUCAAAGGGAAAGGAGAUAGCUAGAGAUUAGAAGAGGAAAAGAAAAGAAGAAUUCAAGAAAGGUUUGGUGUUUUAAUGAUUUUAUGUUUUUCUUUGAUUCUGCCAUGAAUAAGUGAAAUUAGGGGUUGAUUUUACUUGCUGGAAAUGUUGCUUUGAUUGUAUAAAUAUGUUAUAUGAAUGUUAAAAUGAUGUUUGAAAGGCUUAGAGUAAAGAAAUUUAACAUGGGAGCUAAAAGUGUAAAUCUGGCAGAAUAGGUUGUAACAGGACAGCUUGUGUUACUAACUCCAUAACUUAUUGUGUAUAUAUUGAAAUUAGGCCUAAGAUAUACCAAAUUAAAGCUAAGACAAAUAUCUAAAACUUUCAUGAAUUGACAAAAUUCUGAAUCUGUAGUUAAAAUGAUGAAAAUUGCAAGUGAACCUAAACUGGACACAGUGGUAGUGCAUCCGGAACAGAGUCUAUUGAUUAUACCAUAACUAAUUACAUACUCAGUAAAAUUUGUUAAGACCAGUUCCAAAUGAAUCUUAAGAAGUAUACCUAAAACUUUUU